AACGAACGCUGGCGGCAUGCCUAACACAUGCAAGUCGAACGAGCCCUUCGGGUCUAGUGGCGCACGGGUGCGUCACGCGUGGGAACCUGCCCUUAGGUUCGGAAUAACUCCCCGAAAGGGGUGCUAAUACCGGAUAAUGUCUUCGGACCAAAGAUUUAUCGCCUUUGGAUGGGCACGCGUUGGAUUAGCUAGUUGGUAGGGUAAAAGCCUACCAAGGCGACGAUCCAUAGCUGGUCUGAGAGGAUGCUCAGCCACACUGGGACUGAGACACGGCCCAGACUCCUACGGGAGGCAGCAGUGGGGAAUAUUGGACAGUGGGCGAAAGCCUGAUCCAGCAAUGCCGCGUGAGUGAUGAAGGCCUUAGGGUUGUAAAGCGCUUUUACCCGUGAUGAUAAUGACAGUACCGGGAGAAUAAGCCCCGGCUAACUCCGUG
rnacentral:rRNA from 1 species